UACGAAGGGGGCUAGCGUUGUUCGGGAUACUGGGCGUAAAGCGUGCGCAGGCGGCUUCUCAAGUCAGGGGUGAAAGCCCAGAGCUCAACUCUGGAAUUGCCUUGAGACUGAGUGGCUUGAGUACGAGAGAGGUGAGUGGAAUUCCCAGUGUAGAGGUGAAAUUCGUAGAUAUUGGGAAGAACACCGGUGGCGAAGGCGGCUCACUGGCUCGUAACUGACGCUCAGUGCACGACAGGACCGUGGGGAUCAAACAGG
rnacentral:rRNA from 1 species